GCAGGCCCGGGGGGAGCGGCGCCCUCACGGCCCCCGGAGCUCCGGCCGCGCUGCCCUCAGAGCUCCGGCCGCGCUGCCCUCAGAGCUCCGGCCGCUCUGCCCGCGGAGCUCCGGCCGUGCUGCCCUCAGAGCUCCGGCCGCGCUGCCCUCAGAGCUCCGGCCGUGCUGCCCGCGGAGCUCCGGCCGUGCUGCCCUCAGAGCUCCGGCCGUGCUGCCCUCAGAGCUCCGGCCGCUCUGCCCGCGGAGCUCCGGCCGCGCUGCCCGCGGAGCCCCGGCCGCUCUGCCCGCGGAGCUCCGUCCGUGCUCAUCAGCGGGGCCGGAGCGGCUGCGCGCCGGCAUCCCUCAGCACACCCGGGAGGGCUCUCAGCGCACCCACGAGAGUUCCAGCACCCUCAGCACACCCGGGAGGGCUCUCAGCACACCCAUGAGGAUUGCAGCGCACCCACGAGGGUUCCAGCACCCUCAGCACACCCGGGAGAGGCUCCAGCACCCUCAGGACACCCAGGAGGGUUCCAGCACCUUCAGCACACCUGGGAGGGGUUUCAGCACCCGUAAGGGGUUCCAGCACCCUCAGCGUCCAUAAGGGGUUCCAGCACCCUCAGCACACCCAUGAGGGUUCCAGCACCCUCAGCACACCCAUGAGGUGUUCCAGCACCCUCAGCACACGCAUGAGGUGUUCCAGCACCCUCAGCACACCCAUGAGGGUUCCAGCACCCUCAGCACACCCAUGAGGGUUCCAGCACCCUCAGCACACCCAUGAGGUGUUCCAGCACCCUCAGCACACCCAUGAGGGUUCCAGCACCCUCAGCACACCCAUGAGGUGUUCCAGCACCCUCAGCACACACAGGAGAGGUUCCAGCACCCUCAGCACACCCAUGAGGGUUCCAGCACCCUCAGCACACCCAUGAGGUGUUCCAGCACCCUCAGCACACCCAUGAGAGUCCCAGCACCCUCAGCAAGACCUAGGAUGGCUUCCAGCCUCCUCAGCAGACCCAUGAUGGGCUUUGGAGCCCUCAGCAAACAACACCAUGAGGGCGUUCAGACCCCUCAGACGACCCUGAAGGGUUUGGACCCCUCAGCAAACCCUGUGAGAGGUUUAAGACCCCUCACCAAAACCAUGAGGGAUUUCAGGACCCUCAUCCCGCCCAGCACUCAGCAAACCCUGUGAGGGUUUUCGCGUGCCCUCAAACCAAGAUCAGAUGCCAUGACGUGUUACAGCCGCCGCAGCACUUACCUGAGGGGCUUCAGGUCCUGCAGACUCUCCAUGGGUUUCGCGACCCUCUGCCAUCAUCGCAUUCCGUGAGGGGAUUUCGGCUCCCAUAGACCCUCCAAUGGUUUCUCGCGCUCCCGGCCCUCAGCGAUCCCGUGGGGGCCUGAGCUCGCCCCUCGUCCCCAUGAGGGGGCUCGUGCCACUCCGCCAUGAGGGUCUUCCCGCCACUCCGCCAUGAGGGAGUUCUCGCCACUCUGCCAUGAGGGGGCUUCCCGUCACUGCACUCUGAGGGUCUUCCCGCCACUCCGCCAUGAGGGAGUUCUCGCCACUCCGCCGUGAGGGAGCUCGUGCCACUCGUCCUGAGGGGGCUCGUGCCACUCCGCCGUGAGGGAGCUCGUGCCACUCGUCCUGACGGGGCUCGUGCCACUCGUCCUGACGGGGCUCGUGCCACUCGUCCUGAGGGGGCUCGUGCCACUCGUCCUGAGGGAGCUUGGUGCCAUUCCGCCGUGAGGGAGCUUCCGGCAGUCCACCCUGAGGGGGCACGCACCACUCCGCCGUUAGGGGCUCGCACCACCCCGCCGUGAGGGGGUUCCGCCACUUCGUGAGGGAUCUCACAUCACCCCACCGUGAGGGGCUCACAUCACCCGCCCUGAGGGAGCUUCCGGCAGUCCACCCUGAGGGGGCACGCACCACCCCGCCGUGAGGGGCUCGCACCACCCCGCCAUGAGGGGGUUCCGCCACUCCGCCGUGAGGAGCUCACACCAUUUCACCCUGAGGGAGCUCACAUCGCCCCUCCGUGAGGGAGCUGACACUACUCCGCCCUGAGGGGCUCACACCGCCCGCCGUGAGGGAGCUGACACUACUCCGCCCUGAGGGGCUCACACCACCGGCCGUGAGGGGCAGGCACUACUCCGCCCUGAGGGAGCUCACACCACCCGCCGUGAGGGGCUCGCACCAUUUCACCCUGAGGGGCUCACACCACCGGCCGUGAGGGAGCUGACACUACUCCGCCCUGAGGGAGCUCACACCGCCCGCCGUGAGGGGCAGGCACCCCGGGCAGGCCUCCCUGGGGCUCCGGCCCAGCCCUGGCCCCUCAGAGCCCCGCGGAGUUUCCCGCCUUCGCCUCGGCGCCGUGAGGGCUCCAGCUCCCUCAGCAUCCGAAAACCCUGCCAGGGGUUUCAGCGCCUCACCGUGAUCACACCCUCGAAGAUUUUCAGCCCGCUCAGCCCUCAGCAUCCUGCGAGAAGAGGAUGUUUGUCAUCUUUUGAUGCCGUGCCAGCAAAGCGCGGAAUUGUGGGAGAGCAAAGCUCCCAAAGUGAUCUCUGCUCUGCAAGUUCCAGAAAGAUCCACGCUCCGAAAAGGACGGGGCAGGAAGUUCAGCUGGCUGGGGGAAAAGCAGCUCCAGACACAACGGGACCUUUAUCAGCUUGAACUUCAUCUCCGCCCCAGAAAAGCUGCACCCGGCGCAGCCCUGCCAGAGGAAACUUCCAGAAGGUCUUCAUUUGGGGACUUGGAGCUUCCAGGGGCUGCACUCUCAUCCCAGUUGGAACUUUAUCUCCAGCCUGAAAUGAUUUGGCUGUGGACGUCAGUGCCUUCCUGCAGGAUUAAGGGAUCCUCUCCGUUGGCAGGAGGAUCCCUCAUUCCCAGGAAACUCGAGGCAGAAGUUCUGAGGUGGCCACCUCGUGGGAAGUUCAGGAUUCACUGGACAGGCCUGGAAUCCCCCAUGGACUGAGGAAACACCAGGGAGCUGGGAUGUUCCCGUGCUCUGUGGCCUCCGCGAGGUGCUGGAGUGGGGUGAGUGCAGCAGAACAGGGGGAAACCCCAAAAAUUGUGAUUUUUUGGAUCCAGUGAAGGAAAAGAAGUUUUUACCCUUGAAUUUUGUGGCAAAAGGGGUAAAUCCAGUGGCUGGUAAUUUGGGAUUCACAAACCUGGCGCAGGAAAAGCCCUCAGAGCAUCCCAAAAAAAUCCUGCCAGGAAUGGUGUGGACUUACUCCGAGGUGAGCCGGGAAUUCCUCCUGGGAGUAAGGAGAGCCCAAACCUGGCUGCUGGAGAAUCGUGACUCAAAUUGAGUGUGGCACACACAAAAAAAGCCAAUUCUUGACUGGAUGUGCUUCCUGGGAAUGCCACGAAGUCAAGUAUCUGAUUAAGUUCAAGAGAAUUACAUUUUCCGUGCUCCAGCGAGAGGCGCGGGCCCUUUGGAAAAUCAUAACGAGCCGCCCUCAUUUGCAUCCCUCUGAUAAAUGGCUGUAACCAGAUGAGGGAGAUAAAAGGAGCAGUCUAUUAAUUACAGUGAUUAUUAUUUAAUAGAAAACGGGACGGUGGCUGGCGAGAGGGAGGCUCGGCCAUGCAUUAUGUGGUUUAUCUUGGGGAGGAAGAUAAGUGUCCGGCUCUUCCUCAGCCCAAGGAAUGUGUUCAUUACCUGGGCAAGAUUUAUUAGCAUAAUUGAGGGGAAUAUUUGAGAACUCUCCGCUUUCUUUGGUGGGCGAGGCGGGGUUAAUUAAGCUGGGUAAAUGAAGUUAUGGUGUCAGGGAAAUGCAAAGUUUGGGAGCUGGAAAAAGCUGGAGUGGGGUGCUGUUAUGGCCAGAAUUUUGGGGCUGCCUGGUGGAAAUCAAAAACUGAGAGGCCGGAGGGGCCAGGACAAACCUCAGAUGGAUCUGGGAUCCUCAGGAUGGGGCAGACCUGGAGGGGCUAGGAGGGGAUGGGAAUGGGAUGGG